rnacentral:SRP_RNA from 1 species
GCCAGGCCGGUGGCACGUGCCUGUAGUCCUAGCUACUAGGAAGGCUGAGACAGGAGGGUCGCUUGAGCCCAGGAGUUCUAGGCUGUAGUGCGCUGUGUCAAGCAGUGUCCACACUAAGCUUGGCAUCAAUAUGGUGACUUCCCAGGAGUGAAGGACCACCAGGUUGCCUAAGGAGGGGUGAACCGAGAGGAGAAGCAGAGCAGGUCAAAACUCCAGUGCUGAUCAGAAAGAGGAUUGCCCCUGUGAAUAACUACUGCACUCCAGCCUGGGCAACAUAGCAAGACCCUGUCUCU